UCGCGGAAGGCUGCGACGCCGCGA
rnacentral:snRNA from 1 species